rnacentral:misc_RNA from 1 species
AACGCAAAUUGCGCUCGAGGCUUUGGCCAAGAGCAUGUCUGCCUCAGCGUCGGGUUAAUACUCGCUCACUCACUCUCUCUUCUGGGUGUGUGUGUGCGGAACUGGCUUUCCCGGUAACAAGGUGACGGUUUACUACUUUCACCCCUCCGCCGGGUCUGCUGAAGUGAAGAGGUUGAUGCAUGGACCCGCUCAAUGGGCCUCAACUGGGUAGGCAAUCUUUGUGUUGCCAACAAAUGCUUUAGUUGAUGGCUUUGGGACCGUGCUUGUCGACCCGAACCAGGAAACAACUCUUAACCUCAUUUCCUCGACCUGAGCUCAGGCAAGAACACCCGCUGAACUUAA